GACAAACGCUGGCGGCGUGCUUAACACAUGCAAGUCGAACGGAAAGGCCCUGCUUUUGUGGGGUGCUCGAGUGGCGAACGGGUGAGUAACACGUGAGUAACCUGCCCUUGACUUUGGGAUAACCUCAGGAAACUGGGGCUAAUACCGGAUAGGAGCUCCUGCUGCAUGGUGGGGGUUGGAAAGCUUCGGCGGUUGGGGAUGGACUCGCGGCUUAUCAGCUUGUUGGUGGGGUAGUGGCUUACCAAGGCUUUGACGGGUAGCCGGCCUGAGAGGGUGACCGGCCACAUUGGGACUGAGAUACGGCCCAGACUCCUACGGGAGGCAGCAGUGGGGAAUAUUGCACAAUGGGCGGAAGCCUGAUGCAGCAACGCCGCGUGCGGGAUGACGGCCUUCGGGUUGUAAACCGCUUUCGCCUGUGACGAAGCGUGAGUGACGGUAAUGGGUAAAGAAGCACCGGCUAACUACGUGCCAGCAGCCGCGGUGAUACGUAGGGUGCGAGCGUUGUCCGGAUUUAUUGGGCGUAAAGGGCUCGUAGGUGGUUGAUCGCGUCGGAAGUGUAAUCUUGGGGCUUAACCCUGAGCGUGCUUUCGAUACGGGUUGACUUGAGGAAGGUAGGGGAGAAUGGAAUUCCUGGUGGAGCGGUGGAAUGCGCAGAUAUCAGGAGGAACACCAGUGGCGAAGGCGGUUCUCUGGGCCUUUCCUGACGCUGAGGAGCGAAAGCGUGGGGAGCGAACAGGCUUAGAUACCCUGGUAGUCCACGCUGUAAACGGUGGGUACUAGGUGUGGGGUCCAUUCCACGGGUUCCGUGCCGUAGCUAACGCUUUAAGUACCCCGCCUGGGGAGUACGGCCGCAAGGCUAAAACUCAAAGGAAUUGACGGGGCCCCGCACAAGCGGCGGAGCAUGCGGAUUAAUUCGAUGCAACGCGUAGAACCUUACCUGGGUUUGACAUGGAUCGGGAGUGCUCAGAGAUGGGUGUGCCUCUUUUGGGGUCGGUUCACAGGUGGUGCAUGGCUGUCGUCAGCUCGUGUCGUGAGAUGUUGGGUUAAGUCCCGCAACGAGCGCAACCCUUGUUCACUGUUGCCAGCACGUUAUGGUGGGGACUCAGUGGAGACCGCCGGGGUCAACUCGGAGGAAGGUGGGGAUGACGUCAAGUCAUCAUGCCCCUUAUGUCCAGGGCUUCACGCAUGCUACAAUGGCUGGUACAGAGAGUGGCGAGCCUGUGAGGGUGAGCGAAUCUCGGAAAGCCGGUCUCAGUUCGGAUUGGGGUCUGCAACUCGACCUCAUGAAGUCGGAGUCGCUAGUAAUCGCAGAUCAGCAACGCUGCGGUGAAUACGUUCCCGGG
rnacentral:rRNA from 1 species